GAUGAACGCUGGCGGCGUGCCUAAUACAUGCAAGUCGAGCGAACAGAUGAGGAGCUUGCUCCUCUGACGUUAGCGGCGGACGGGUGAGUAACACGUGGAUAACCUACCUAUAAGACUGGGAUAACUUCGGGAAACCGGAGCUAAUACCGGAUAAUAUAUUGAACCGCAUGGUUCAAUAGUGAAAGACGGUUUUGCUGUCACUUAUAGAUGGAUCCGCGCCGCAUUAGCUAGUUGGUAAGGUAACGGCUUACCAAGGCAACGAUGCGUAGCCGACCUGAGAGGGAGGGAGGGCAGAAUGGGGAUAGGACCAGGUCGAGACGACUGCGGGAGGGAGCAGUGGGGAGUCUGCGAGGAGGGUCGAAAGCCAUAAGGAGAAAAUUAGCGUGAAAGACGAAAUGCUUCGGAUCGUAUAACUUUCUUAACAGUGACGAACAAAAAUGUAAGUGACAACGCCGUUCUUGAAGGUAACUAAUCAGAAAGCAACGACUAACUAGGUG
rnacentral:rRNA from 1 species